rnacentral:lncRNA from 1 species
GUUAAAGAAUGACACAAAUUAUGAAGUGGUCAUUAUGAUGCUGUUUUAUCUCUCAUUGCUACUUUAUCUCUCUUUCUUUUAACAGUCUGAGAAGUCAGUAUUAUUACUACUGUGUUUGAGAUGGGUGUCUUGCUAAGUUGCCAAGCUUGGCCUUCAACUUGUGACCCUCCUGUCUCAGCCUAUCAAGUAGUAGGGGCUACAGUUGCCCCAUGGUGUUAAUGAACAUGGACCAGUUGAAGCCCCUCAGAACAUAUGUCAGAUUUGCCCUACUAGAAGGUGAACUUUAUCCAUCCACGGAAGUGCAGCCUUCAAUAGCACUUGAAUAAGCUAAAUCUUGUUAUGGUCCAAACUGGAAGGUAAUUUAUGUUUGGCUGAAGUUCAGCAGUGAAAAGAACAUUUUAAAAAAAGCAAAAACGGAAUGAAUGUAGAGACUAUGUGUACACCCUUGUUCUUCCUGGGAGUUCUUCGAGGCAUGCAGAUUAAAUGUCAAGCAAGUAGAAAGUUCUAAGGAUUACUCUGCUUACAGGAAUAAAAUUAGCAGCUAAAGAGAUCAGGUCUCCUCUUUUUUGAGAGAAUGUGAGAGAAGAAAAGAAAAAUACUAGUUUAAAAUUUAAUACUUUUAUAAUUUGAUUAUCCUUUAUAAUUUUUAUAAAACCAUUACCAUAAUAUGCAAAAAUAAUGAAAUAGGC